rnacentral:rRNA from 1 species
AGCGAACGCUGGCGGCAGGCCUAACACAUGCAAGUCGAACGAACCCUUCGGGGUUAGUGGCGGACGGGUGAGUAACACGUGGGAACGUGCCUUUAGGUUCGGAAUAACUCAGGGAAACUUGUGCUAAUACCGAAUGUGCCCUUCGGGGGAAAGAUUUAUCGCCUUUAGAGCGGCCCGCGUCUGAUUAGCUAGUUGGUGAGGUAAUGGCUCACCAAGGCUACGAUCAGUAGCUGGUCUGAGAGGAUGACCAGCCACAUUGGGACUGAGACACGGCCCAAACUCCUACGGGAGGCAGCAGUGGGGAAUCUUGCGCGAUGGGCGAAAGCCUGACGCAGCCAUGCCGCGUGGAUGAUGAAGGUCUUAGGAUUGUAAAAUCCUUUCACCGGUGAAGAUAAUGACUGUAGCCGGAGAAGAAGCCCCGGCUAACUUCGUGUCAGCCGCCGCAGUAACAC